rnacentral:rRNA from 1 species
UUGCGAGGGAAACGGCAACAGCUCAAAUUUGAAAUCUGGCCCCUUCGGGGUCCGAGUUGUAAUUUGUAGAGAGUGUUUCGGGCGAGACCGCGGUCUAAGUCUGUUGGAACAUGGCGUCACAGAGGGUGAGAAUCCCGUAUGCGACCGCGGAUCGAGUCCGUGUGAAACCUCUUCGACGAGUCGAGUUGUUUGGGAAUGCAGCUCAAAAUGGGUGGUAAAUUUCAUCUAAAGCUAAAUACUGGCUGGAGACCGAUAGCGCACAAGUAGAGUGAUCGAAAGAUGAAAAGCACUUUGGAAAGAGAGUCAAACAGUACGUGAAAUUGUUGAAAGGGAAGCGCUUGCAACCAGACCUGUCCGCAGGCGAUCAACCGCUGUUCUCAGCGGUGCACUCGCUCUGCGAUCAGGCCAGCAUCGGUCCGGGCGGCCGGACAAAGGCCUUGGGAAUGUAGCUUCCUCCGGGGAGUCUUAUAGCCCUCGGUGCAAUGCGGCCAGCCGGGACCGAGGAUCGCGCUUCGGCUCGGAUGCUGGCGUAAUGGUUGUAAGCGACCCGUCUUG